UUUAUAUCCUGUGAACUACAAGAUACCAGCAUGGAAUUGGAAAACACAAGAUAGAUUUCACUAAUCCCUGUAUGAGUUAUCAAGGGUGUGUUGACGAGAUUGGAUUUGACAGAGGUUGUACUGCUAUACUGCUUGACCUGACCUACAGGAGUGGGAAGAGUAAUGAGACUUUCAUAAUACAGCAAGUGAAGAUGAGUGCAAAACUGAACUGACAAGCUUUAAGGUGGUAAUGUUUUUGUGUGCACUGGUGACAGCUGGUUGGAAGAUUUGUGCUGAAAAGAAACUGUUCUCCAGCUAGAAUGUAUUUGAUGAAAGAGAAGGAAAAAAAU